CCUACGGGUGGCAGCAGUGAGGAAUAUUGGUCAAUGGGCGGAAGCCUGAACCAGCCAAGUAUCGUGCAGGAUGACGGCCCUACGGGUUGUAAACUGCUUUUAUACGGGAAUAACGCGCCUUACGUGUAGGGCUUUGCAUGUACCGUAUGAAUAAGGACCGGCUAAUUCCGUGGCAGCAGCCGCGGUAAUACGGAGGGUCGGGGCGUUUACCGGAUUUAUUGGGUUUAAAGGGAGCGUAGGCCGCAUGUCAAGCGUGCUGUGAAAUGUCCGGGCUCAACCCGGGCCUUGCAGCUGGAACGGGCUGGCGAGAGUCCGCAGAAAGCAUGCGGAAUUCGUCGUGUAGCGGUGAAAUGCUUAGAUAUGACGAAGAACCCCGAUUGCGAAGGCAGCUUGCUGCAGCGGAACUGACGCUGAUGCUCGAAAGCGCGGGUAUCGAACAGGAUUAGAUACCCUAGUAGUC
rnacentral:rRNA from 1 species